rnacentral:rRNA from 1 species
GACAGAGGUGCCAAGCGUUAGGCGGAAUCACUGGGCUUAAAGCGUGUGUAGGCGGACUUGUAAGUACCUUGUGAAAUCCCACGGCUCAACCGUGGAACUGCUUGGUAUACUGCUUGUCUUGAGCCACUUAGGGGCUACCGGAACAAAUGGUGGAGCGGUGAAAUGCGUAGAUAUCUGGAGGAACACCGGUGGCGAAGGCGGCAUCCUGGACCGGUAUUGACGCUGAGGCGCGAAAGCUAGGGGAGCAAACGGG